rnacentral:lncRNA from 1 species
CCACAGCUCACCUGCGCUCACCUGUGCCCAGGACACGCGGCACGGAGCCGCCGGCCUGUCCACGGAGCCCCGUCUCUGCCUGCCUGCCGCGUGGCCCCCCCGCGGGCCGCUCCCCGUGCUGGCAGGCGAGGGAGGAUCCUGACCACGCCGCGUCUCCGCACUGCAGGCCCCGGCACAGACCUGGGGUUGUCUCCACGCCAGCCCCGGCUUCCAGGUGAAGUCACGGUGAGUCAGAGCCCCGCCUCUGGUCCUGAGCUGGGGGGGCAGGUGCCACUGCAAGAACGGGGCCGGUCCGGUGGGUCCCGUGGCCGGGGGUGGGUUCCCUGGGGGCCUGGGGGUCCCGGAGAAGGAGGUGCAUCGUGAGCUGAGCGGCGUGCCGGCUCCCAGGAAGAGCUGAUUGAUAGCUUAGCACCAUCUGGUUUUCGUCAUUCUGGUGUCAUGCUUUUUAUAAACACAGGACGAAAAAAUAUUUUGUCUCCAAUAAAUGUAUCACGGUAUAUCGGCUAUCUCGUAUUAGCAGUUUUAUCUCCUGACUUUUUUAGAAACCAAGAAAUCAAUAGCCUACUUUUAGACUGCGAUCUAAAAGUACCCGUGGGUGUCCUUUCCCAAGCACACUGGGCGGAAUUAAAUAAAACAAGGAAACACACAUUUUUCUCAGACGCAGCUUUGGUUGGACUCGGGGACGGCGGCGGAGCAGACGUCAAAAGAACAAGAAAAAGGUUGUCCUCGGAGUGGGACGAUUGAAAUCCACCCGCAAGGCACGCGGGUCACCCGCCUGCGAAAACGGUGACUAUGACCAGGGCGCGGUCUCCCCGGGACAUGUCGGGAGUGGGGGCGUCACAGGGAGGUGGCAUCGGCCCCCCCGGCCACCUGGUGUGAGCAGGAGGUGUGGGCAGCCCACGGCCUGGAAAGGAUGGGCAGGAAGCCAGGCGGCGACCACUGGGUGGUCCCUCCCCACGCGGGUCAUGUGGGUCGCCUCUGGCUGCUAUGCCCGCGGGCCUGGAACGCUUCCGUCAACUGCCGUCUGUCUGUCCGGGAGCCGGGAUGUGAAUGAAGCCCAGCGGCCCCAGGGUGGUCGGGCUGGGCCCUCGCUGCUCCUUCCCCAGUUCCCGCGUGGGCUCCCCAG